rnacentral:rRNA from 1 species
UACGAGAGGCCCAAACGUUAUUCGGAUUUACUGGGCUUAAAGAGUUCGUAGGCGGCGCGGAAAGUAGGGUGUGAAAGCCCUCGGCUCAACCGAGGAAUUGCGCCCUAAACUGCCGUGCUUGAGGAACCUAGAGGUGAGCAGAACAGAUGGUGGAGCGGUGAAAUGCGUUGAUAUCAUCUGGAAUACCGGAGGCGAAGGCGGCUCACUGGGGGUUUUCUGACGCUGAGGAACGAAAGCCAGGGGAGCGAACGGG